rnacentral:rRNA from 1 species
GAUGAACGCUGGCGGCGUGCUUAACACAUGCAAGUCGAACGGAAAGGCCCAAGCUUGCUUGGGUGCUCGAGUGGCGAACGGGUGAGUAACACGUGGGUGAUCUGCCCUGCACUUUGGGAUAAGCCUGGGAAACUGGGUCUAAUACCGGAUAGGACCAUCGUUUAGUGUCGGUGGUGGAAAGUGUUUCGGUGUGGGAUGAGCUCGCGGCCUAUCAGCUUGUUGGUGGGGUAAUGGCCUACCAAGGCGUCGACGGGUAGCCGGCCUGAGAGGGUGUACGGCCACAUUGGGACUGAGAGACGGCCCAGACUCCUACGGGAGGCAGCAGUGGGGAAUAUUGCACAAUGGGCGCAAGCCUGAUGCAGCGAGGCCGCGUGGGGGAUGACGGCCUUCGGGUUGUAAACUCCUUUCGCCAAGGACGAAGCGUUUUGUGACGGUACUUGGAGAAGAAGCACCGGCUAACUACGUG